rnacentral:ncRNA from 1 species
GUGUUGCCUGCGCAAAGCGGGUCCGGCGGUGGUCUGGUGUUGGGUGGUCUUACAUGCGGCGCCUCCUGUACGAGUCGGCGUGGGCCAAACAGUCUGUGGUGUUGUGGUAGACGAGCUACCCGACCCGUCUUGAAACACGGACCAAGGAGUUUAUCAUGCACGCGAGUCAAUGGGUCCCACGAAACCCAAAGGCGCAGUGAAAGUGAAGUCUCGACUUGUUCUCGGGAUGUGGUGAGAUGCCACUGUUUCUCGCACCUCGCCUUGCGCGUUCAGCACCAGGCAGAAGAGCAGUGGUCGCAUCACCGGCCCGUCCCAUGAUGUGGUCGUUGGAAAGGCGUGGAUCGUUCUGCGGUCUGGGCUGGAGCCGGCGCGUCAUCGGGGCGGAGCAGGAGCGUGCACGAUAAGACCCGAAAGAUGGUGAAUUAUGCUUGCGUAGGUUGAAGCCAGAGGAAACUCUGGUGGAGAACCGCAGCGAUUCUGACGUGCAAAUCGAUCGUCAAACGUGAGUAUAGGGGCGAAAGACUAAUCGAACCAUCUAGUAGCUGGUUCCCUCCGAAAUUUCCCUCAGGAUAGCUGGCACUCAUUCGCAAGAUCAGUUUUAUCCGGUAAAGCGAAUGAUUAGAGGUACUGGGUUCGAAACGAGCUCAGCCUAUUCUCAAACUUUAAAUGGGUGAGAUGCCCGGCUCGCUUUGUAGGAGUCGGGCGUUGAAUGUGCGAGUGCCAAGGGGGCCAUUUUUGGUAAGCAGAACUGGCGCUGUGGGAUGAACGAAAAAAAGAAAAAGUAGCUACCAAAUAGCCACAAGAAAGCACAUUUUUAUGCAUAUUUUCCAUGAAAUGUAUUUGCAUUUACAAGGGCAUUUGAAAUCAAUGGGGAAGAUUCAUGUGCAACAUUAGUCAUUUUUAAAGGGUGUUGAUUAUGCAGGCAACCUAAAAUAAACUCCUU